rnacentral:lncRNA from 1 species
CGCACUUAUCGUUUAUCAGUCAUUAUAUUAGUGUUAGUGAUAUCGAUUAUACUGUCAGUUUCAGAUUCGACAGGCGUCGCGAUUCCAAAACAAAAAACAAUUUUCUCGUUCAGAAGUCCCACAGAAAUUUCAGUCAAAAGAGCAGACGACGCUAAUUCAGAAAGAUAAGCAAACGCGCGGGGCCUUUUGCGAAUGAUUCCUACAGUGAUGAUUUCCUUGAGCUGCCUCACAAAAAUUUCGCCGCAUACUGCCGGUUGUGCUUUUUCAUCUCCCAGCUGGAACAUUCGGCGCAAGAGGAACGAAAUGGACGCGACGAAGGAAAGUGCGGGAUGUGUGGAUUAUCUUCAAAGUGUGACGAUUAUUGCAACAGAACCGCAGGAACUUGCCAUGGAAGUAGCGGUUCCGGAAUAACUGGUAGAGACGGAAGUGGCGGAAGAUCCGACUCCAAUGGAGAUAACGGACGAAUGUGUACAACGACCGUGGGUCCAUAACCAUCCGCCCUGGAAGCUUCUGUAGUAGCCGACGAGGACGACGACAAUGUUUGGAUUACGUCCGUGGAAACGAUUCCGAUUGCGUUCGAUCUGAGCGAAGAUAACAACGAUCCGUUCAUCAAGAUGACCAACGAUUGGUACUGUUGUAAGGUGUGUUCCCGCCUCUACCAGGCGUUUCCCCAACUGGUGAGAACCUUCGCGAUGUAAACCCGGACAAGGCGGAGAUAUUGCGCCAACGAUCGAAAGAGUCCUACUUCCGGGCCAAGGAAAGUGACUUGUAAUUGGUGCUGUACGCAAUUUUAAAAUAACAAAUCUAAUUAAGGUACCGUGGGGCAAGUGGGUAAUGGAUUUCGCAUAGUUGGGAUUCUUCAAAUUCUAGAGACUUUCAAUUAAAACAAAUGAGGUCGUGCAUAUAUUUCAGCUUGACUCCCUCCCAUUAGUAUGCUGAAAUGGAUUUCUAUGUAAAAUUGAAGAAAUAGGUACAGAAAGUUUUUGAAAAACGUCACCUUACUUUUCACUUGCCCCAUUACCUUUAACCUUUGUUAAGGCGUCCCAGUAAACAAUAAGUAACAUGUAAACAAAGAACAUUUCAUUCUUGUUACUAUAAUUUUCUUCUGUUCAGUUAUGUUUAUUGAAACAAUUCGACAACAUUAUAACUGCACUGCAACAUUUCCAAAGUUAGUUCUUACAGCGUGGGAUAGCAAUUGCAUUUGUGCUCUGUAGAAUUUCCACCGCUCGUUAUUUGUUUUUAAGAAUAUCGGAUAUGACGUUAGUUCAAUAAAGUAUUUAGAAACUUGUUUAUAUAAAUAGACCUUUACCCUAUU